AUCGCCCGCAUCUGGCCUAACCCAUCUCGCACGAGGACCUGGAGACGGCGGCGCAGGAGCGAGGACCGGGCGACGCCGCCAGCGCGAGGACCUAGAGGCGACGCCGCCGGCGCGAGGUCAUGGAGGCGAAGCCCCGUCUUUGGUUGGUCGCUGUGGCCGCUCCCUCACGGCCCCGCCGACACCGGCGCGAGGUCCUGACGACGCUGACCCGAGAUGGAGGCCCCGCCUGCGCUUGGCCGUAGUGGUGUACCAACGCAGCAAGUCUUCUCAGUGCAAAACUGGGGACUACAAUUCCAUGGCACUCACAUGCUGAGAACUUCAAAGAGUAAAUCAUGAGUCGUCAGUGAACUUUUGUUCCAAGCUCACUGCGCAGCGCCUACGGCGGACAUUCAGAUAUUGAGAUGUGGACCUCCUCCGAUGAAGAAAGCCAUGGCUGCAAACCUAGAUGACCUUGGGUACAUCAAGGAGAUGCAGUUCCAGUUCUAAGUUUCAACGGUGCAAGCUACCAAAAUAAUGGUCGCAUGGCCGUUCUUAUUAUUUUCAGUUUGACAUGAGCUGACUGAUACCAUUUAGCUCGUCCGAAAAAAAACUCCAUAGUCCAUGAAGUGUCAUUUCUGAUGAAUGAUAGUAACCCUAAUUGAGAGGUUGUGUCACUGUACCGUGCCAGUUAUA